GAGGAGACCAAUCUCCUCUCAGGUGAGAGACCUAGAACUAUUCUAGGAUUUUUGGGUGAGGAAAAAAUCAAAGAGAAGAGAGUCUUCAUCAAUUUUUUCUCCACCAUCUAGCAUCUUCUUUUGAUCCAUCUUCGAUAUUAGAAAGGUCUGAGGUGAUCGAAAGAAGAGAUCAAAUUAGAUCUGUCAUCAGAAGCCGACUGCGCGAGCUAGCACUCUCGCAGAGGGCUAAUCUGUUUGAGGGCUUCGUGUGGACCAUCCGUAG
rnacentral:lncRNA from 1 species